UCCCUCAUAGCUCAGUUGGUAAAGAAUCUGCCUGCAAUGCAGGAGACCCAGGUUUGAUUCCUGGUUUGGGAA
rnacentral:tRNA from 1 species